GGUUAAGCGACUAAGCGUACACGGUGGAUGCCCUGGCAGUCAGAGGCGAUGAAGGACGUGCUAAUCUGCGAUAAGCGUCGGUAAGGUGAUAUGAACCGUUAUAACCGGCGAUUUCCGAAUGGGGAAACCCAGUGUGAUUCGUCACACUAUCAUUAACUGAAUCCAUAGGUUAAUGAGGCGAACCGGGGGAACUGAAACAUCUAAGUACCCCGAGGAAAAGAAAUCAACCGAGAUUCCCCCAGUAGCGGCGAGCGAACGGGGAGCAGCCCAGAGCCUGAAUCAGUGUGUGUGUUAGUGGAAGCGUCUGGAAAGGCGUGCGAUACAGGGUGACAGCCCCGUACACAAAAAUGCACAUACUGUGAGCUCGAUGAGUAGGGCGGGACACGUGGUAUCCUGUCUGAAUAUGGGGGGACCAUCCUCCAAGGCUAAAUACUCCUGACUGACCGAUAGUGAACCAGUACCGUGAGGGAAAGGCGAAAAGAACCCCGGCGAGGGGAGUGAAAAAGAACCUGAAACCGUGUACGUACAAGCAGUGGGAGCACGCUUAGGCGUGUGACUGCGUACCUUUUGUAUAAUGGGUCAGCGACUUAUAUUCUGUAGCAAGGUUAACCGAAUAGGGGAGCCGAAGGGAAACCGAGUCUUAACUGGGCGUUAAGUUGCAGGGUAUAGACCCGAAACCCGGUGAUCUAGCCAUGGGCAGGUUGAAGGUUGGGUAACACUAACUGGAGGACCGAACCGACUAAUGUUGAAAAAUUAGCGGAUGACUUGUGGCUGGGGGUGAAUGGCCAAUCAAACCGGGAGAUAGCUGGUUCUCCCCGAAAGCUAUUUAGGUAGCGCCUCGUGAAUUCAUCUCCGGGGGUAGAGCACUGUUUCGGCAAGGGGGUCAUCCCGACUUACCAACCCGAUGCAAACUGCGAAUACCGGAGAAUGUUAUCACGGGAGACACACGGCGGGUGCUAACGUCCGUCGUGAAGAGGGAAACAACCCAGACCGCCAGCUAAGGUCCCAAAGUCAUGGUUAAGUGGGAAACGAUGUGGGAAGGCCCAGACAGCCAGGAUGUUGGCUUAGAAGCAGCCAUCAUUUAAAGAAAGCGUAAUAGCUCACUGGUCGAGUCGGCCUGCGCGGAAGAUGUAACGGGGCUAAACCAUGCACCGAAGCUGCGGCAGCGACGCUUAUGCGUUGUUGGGUAGGGGAGCGUUCUGUAAGCCUGCGAAGGUGUGCUGUGAGGCAUGCUGGAGGUAUCAGAAGUGCGAAUGCUGACAUAAGUAACGAUAAAGCGGGUGAAAAGCCCGCUCGCCGGAAGACCAAGGGUUCCUGUCCAACGUUAAUCGGGGCAGGGUGAGUCGACCCCUAAGGCGAGGCCGAAAGGCGUAGUCGAUGGGAAACAGGUUAAUAUUCCUGUACUUGGUGUUACUGCGAAGGGGGGACGGAGAAGGCUAUGUUGGCCGGGCGACGGUUGUCCCGGUUUAAGCGUGUAGGCUGGUUUUCCAGGCAAAUCCGGAAAAUCAAGGCUGAGGCGUGAUGACGAGGCACUACGGUGCUGAAGCAACAAAUGCCCUGCUUCCAGGAAAAGCCUCUAAGCAUCAGGUAACAUCAAAUCGUACCCCAAACCGACACAGGUGGUCAGGUAGAGAAUACCAAGGCGCUUGAGAGAACUCGGGUGAAGGAACUAGGCAAAAUGGUGCCGUAACUUCGGGAGAAGGCACGCUGAUAUGUAGGUGAAGUCCCUCGCGGAUGGAGCUGAAAUCAGUCGAAGAUACCAGCUGGCUGCAACUGUUUAUUAAAAACACAGCACUGUGCAAACACGAAAGUGGACGUAUACGGUGUGACGCCUGCCCGGUGCCGGAAGGUUAAUUGAUGGGGUUAGCGCAAGCGAAGCUCUUGAUCGAAGCCCCGGUAAACGGCGGCCGUAACUAUAACGGUCCUAAGGUAGCGAAAUUCCUUGUCGGGUAAGUUCCGACCUGCACGAAUGGCGUAAUGAUGGCCAGGCUGUCUCCACCCGAGACUCAGUGAAAUUGAACUCGCUGUGAAGAUGCAGUGUACCCGCGGCAAGACGGAAAGACCCCGUGAACCUUUACUAUAGCUUGACACUGAACAUUGAGCCUUGAUGUGUAGGAUAGGUGGGAGGCUUUGAAGUGUGGACGCCAGUCUGCAUGGAGCCGACCUUGAAAUACCACCCUUUAAUGUUUGAUGUUCUAACGUUGACCCGUAAUCCGGGUUGCGGACAGUGUCUGGUGGGUAGUUUGACUGGGGCGGUCUCCUCCUAAAGAGUAACGGAGGAGCACGAAGGUUGGCUAAUCCUGGUCGGACAUCAGGAGGUUAGUGCAAUGGCAUAAGCCAGCUUGACUGCGAGCGUGACGGCGCGAGCAGGUGCGAAAGCAGGUCAUAGUGAUCCGGUGGUUCUGAAUGGAAGGGCCAUCGCUCAACGGAUAAAAGGUACUCCGGGGAUAACAGGCUGAUACCGCCCAAGAGUUCAUAUCGACGGCGGUGUUUGGCACCUCGAUGUCGGCUCAUCACAUCCUGGGGCUGAAGUAGGUCCCAAGGGUAUGGCUGUUCGCCAUUUAAAGUGGUACGCGAGCUGGGUUUAGAACGUCGUGAGACAGUUCGGUCCCUAUCUGCCGUGGGCGCUGGAGAACUGAGGGGGGCUGCUCCUAGUACGAGAGGACCGGAGUGGACGCAUCACUGGUGUUCGGGUUGUCAUGCCAAUGGCACUGCCCGGUAGCUAAAUGCGGAAGAGAUAAGUGCUGAAAGCAUCUAAGCACGAAACUUGCCCCGAGAUGAGUUCUCCCUGACUCCUUGAGAGUCCUGAAGGAACGUUGAAGACGACGACGUUGAUAGGCCGGAUGUGUAAGCGCAGCGAUGCGUUGAGCUAACCGGUACUAAUGAACCGUGAGGCUUAACCUU
rnacentral:rRNA from 1 species